ACCAACCCAGCAAUUAAGGGCCUAAUGAACUUUUUGAGUGUACAUUACAGUCACCUAAAAGUAUUUUCUUCAUAAGUAGUUCAUUUCAAAAAAGAUCGCCAGGCCAUUUGAGCUUUUUAAAAGUGAAUAAAUCCAUUAAUUUGGAUAUCAAGUCAUCUAAAUAACAACUAUUGUGGGUUAAAAAUUAGCUAUAAUUUAUAUAUCAUUUUAAAAAUGUGAUUGAUGAUGAGAGUAGCUAUUUGAUUUGGCAUCCAUGUUGACAUUUAUUCCCUAACAUUACUAACUGUAUAAAGGAGCAACAACUUAUAAAAAUUAAAAGUGUAGAUAACAAUCUAGUUUUCAGGAAUAUGAGCAAGAUAGAGAAGAGGAUGAGAUAAGAGUAUAUGUUAAAGGCUUAUCAACUA
rnacentral:lncRNA from 1 species